rnacentral:rRNA from 1 species
UGCCUACGGGGGGCAGCAGUGAGGAAUAUUGGUCAAUGGGCGAGAGCCUGAACCAGCCAAGUCGCGUGAGGGAGGACGGCCCUACGGGUUGUAAACCUCUUUUGCCGGGGGACAAACGGCGGCACGCGUGCCGUCCUGAGGGUACCCGGAGAAAAAGCAUCGGCUAACUCCGUGCCAGCAGCCGCGGUAAUACGGAGGAUGCGAGCGUUAUCCGGAUUUAUUGGGUUUAAAGGGUGCGUAGGCGGAGUGUCAAGUCAGCGGUAAAAUUUCGGGGCUCAACCCCGUCGUGCCGUUGAAACUGACGC